rnacentral:tRNA from 1 species
GGCCAGUUUACGGGAAGUUGCGAGAAGUGUCAAAAAGGGACUGAAAAUCCCCGUGUCGGCGGUUCGAUUCCGUCCCUGGCCACCA